rnacentral:rRNA from 1 species
UACGUAGGGGGCAAGCGUUGUCCGGAAUUAUUGGGCGUAAAGAGCGCGUAGGCGGUCCGAUAAGUCGGCUGUGAAAGUCAGGGGCUCAACCCUUGAAAGCCGGCCGAUACUGUCGGACUAGAGUCCGGAAGAGGCGAGUGGAAUUCCUGGUGUAGCGGUGAAAUGCGCAGAUAUCAGGAGGAACACCUAUUGCGAAGGCAGCUCGCUGGGACGUAACUGACGCUGAGACGCGAAAGCGUGGGGAGCAAACAGG